rnacentral:rRNA from 1 species
ACUCAAAUGAAUUGACGGGGGCCCGCACAAGCGGUGGAGUAUGUUGUUUAAUUCGAAGCAACGCGAAGAACCUUACCAAGCCUUGACAUACCAGACGAGACUAUAGAGAUAUAGUUUAGGUUGAAGGAUACAGGUGGUGCAUGGUUGUCGUCAGCUCGUGUCGUGAGAUGUUGGGUUAAGUCCCGCAACGAGCGCAACCCUUGUCUUCUGUUACCAUCAUUAAGUUGGGGACUCAGGAGAGACUGCCGGUGAUAAGCCGGAGGAAGAUGGGGAUGAGGUCAAAUCAUCAUGCCCCUUAUGGCUUGGGCUACAAACGUACUACAAUGGCGUAUACAAAGAGCUGCGAGCAGGUGACUGUCAGCGAAUCUCACAAAGUACGUCUCAGUUCGGAUUGAAGUCUGCAACUCGACUUCAUGAAGUCGGAAUCGCUAGUAAUCGCGAAUCAGCAUGUCGCGGUGAAUACGUUCUCGGGCCUUGCACACACCGCCCGU